GCCAGCAUGGUGUAAUGGUUUGAGCAUUGGACUAUGACUCCAAAGACCAUGGUUUGAAUCCCAACUCAGUCA
rnacentral:tRNA from 1 species